rnacentral:lncRNA from 1 species
AGUCAAGUUUUUAUUUUGGGUUACAAGGUAGUCAAGUAUUAAAUAAGGUCAAACAACACCACCAUGUUUUGACUUCUGCAGGCCUCACAGUAUUAGCUUAUGCAGCUUAAUCAAAAGAAUUUUGGUGAAAAGAGAUCUAAUCCACAUAGAGAAACGUUCCGUGGAGGCUAGAUUCACCUCCUUAAUGUAGCUGUCCACCUUGACAUGCAUGGGGACGGCUAAUGCCUGAUUACUAAGCUGAACAUGCAAAUAUGCGAAUGGCAUGGAUGAAUGUAAUGAUUUUUUUUAGAAAAAAGCCUC